GGAAAGCCAGUCAACGUCUUCUGCCAUGGAGUCAACAACAGCUGAAACCAUUUCAUCCACAACAGUUGUUUUUGGUUUGACAACAACAGGACAGUCCAAUUCAACAUCUGUAAAGACUGAAACAACAUCCGAGAGAGGAACACAAUCAAGUACAAGAGUGCCUUUCUACACAUCAAACACAGUGACAGAAAUGCCAACAGGUCAGCAACAUACAACAUCUUACCCUACAGCCACAACCAGAUCUUUUAGUGACUCAACCACAUUGGCAAGCCAGUCAACGUCUUCUACCAUGGAGUCAACAAUAGCUGAAACCAUUGGAUCCACAACAGUUGUUGCUGGUUUGACAACAACAGGACAGUUCGAGUCAACAUCUGCAGAGACAAAAACAACAUCCGAGACAGGAACACAAUCAAGUACAAGCAUGCCUGUCUACACAUCAAUCAUGGUGAAAGAAAUGCGAACAGGUCAGCAAGAAACUACAGCUUUGCCUACAGCCACAACCAGAUCUUUUAGUGACUCAACCACAUUGGCAAGCCAGUCAACGUCUUCUGCCACGGAGUCAACAACAGCUGAAACAACUUCAUCCACAACAGUUGUUGCUGGUCUGACAACUGGAGUACAGUCAGAGUCAACAACAGCAGAAUCUGAAGCAUCAGUGACAGGAACACAAUCAAGUACAAACAUACCUGUCUUCACAUCAAUAACGGUGACAGAAAUGCCAACAGGUCAGCAAGAAACAAAAGCUUUGCCUACAGCCACAACCAAAUAUUUUAGUGACUCAACCACAUUGGCAAGCCAGUCAACGUCUUUUGCCACGAAGUCAACAAAAGUUGAAACAACUUCAUCCACAACAGUUGUUGCUGGAUUGAAAACUGCAGGACAGUCAGAGUCAACAACAGCGGGAUCUAAGGCAUCAGUGACAGGAUCACAAUCAAGUACAAGCAUGCCUGUCUUCACAUCAAUAAUGGUGAAAGAAAUGCCAACAGGUCAGCAAGAAACAACAGCUUUGCCUACAGCCACAACCAGAUCUUUUAGUGAGUCAACCACAUUGGCAAGCCAGUCAACGUCUUCUGCCACGGAGUCAACAACAGCUGAAACAACUUCAUCCACAACAGUUGUUGCUGGUCUGACAACUGGAGGACAGUCAGAGUCAACAACAACAGAAUCUGAAGCAUCAGUGACAGGAACACAAUCAAGUACAAACAUAUCUGUCUUCACAUCAAUAACGGUGACAGAAAUGCCAACAGGUCAGCAAGAAACAAAAGCUUUGCCUACAGCCACAACCAAAUAUUUUAGUGACUCAACCACAUUGGCAAGCCAGUCAACGUCUUUUGCCACAAAGUCAACAAAAGUUGAUACAACUUCAUCCACAACAGUUGUUGCUGGAUUGAAAACUGCAGGACAGUCAGAGUCAACAACAGCAGGAUCUAAGGCAUCAGUGACAGGAUCACAAUCAAGUACAAGCAUGCCUGUCUUCACAUCAAUUAUGGUGAAAGAAAUGCCAACAGGUCAGCAAGAAACAACAGCUUUGCCUACCACAACCAGAUCUUUUAGUGACUCAACCACAUUUGCAAGCCAGUCAACGUCUUCUGCCAUGGAGUCAACAACAGCUGAAACAACUUCAUCCACAACAGUUGUUUCUGGUCUGACAACUGGAGGACAGUCAGAGUCAACAACAGCAGAAUCUGAAGCAUCAGUGACAGGAACACAAUCAAGUACAAACAUACCUGUCUUCACAUCAAUAACGGUGACAGAAAUGCCAACAGGUCAGCAAGAAACAAAAGCUUUGCCUACAGCCACAACCAAAUAUUUUAGUGACUCAACCACAUUGGCAAGCCAGUCAACGUCUUUUGCCACAAAGUCAACAAAAGUUGAAACAACUUCAUCCACAACAGUUGUUGCUGGAUUGAAAACUGCAGGACAGUCAGAGUCAACAACAGCAGGAUCUAAGGCAUCAGUCAAAGGAUCACAAUCAACUACAAGCAUGCCUGUCUUCACAUCAAUAAUGGUGAAAGAAAUGCCAAAAGGUCAGCAAGAAACAACAUUUUUGCCUAUAGCCACAACCAGAUCUUUUAGUGACUCAACCAUAUUGGCAAGCCAGUCAACGUCUUCUGCCACUGAGUCAACAACAGCUGAAACAACUUCAUCCACAACAGUUGUUGCUGGUUUGACAACUGGAGGACAGUCAGAGUCAACAACAGCAGAAUCUGAAGCAUCAGUGACAGGAACACAAUCAAGUACAAACAUACCUGUCUUCACAUCAAUGCCAGUGACAGAAAUGACAACAGGUCAGCAAGAAACUACAGCUUUGCCUACAGCUACAACCAGAUCUUUUAUUGACUCAACCACAUUGGCAAGUCAGGCAAUGUCUUCUGCCACGGAGUCAAAAACAGCUGAAACAAUUUCAUCCACAACAGUUGUUGCUGGUUUGACAACAACCGGACAGUCCGAGUCAUCAUUUGUAAAGACAGAAACAACAUCUGAGACAGGAACACAAUCAAGUACAAGCAUGCCUGUCUACACAUCAAUCACAGUGACAGAAAUUUCAACAGUUCAGCAAGAAAAAACAGCUUUGCCUACAGCCACAACCAGAUCUUUUAGUGACUCAACCACAUUGGCAAGCCAGUCAAUGUCUUCUGCCAUGGAGUCAACAACAGCUGAAACCAUUUCAUCCACAACAGUUGUUGUUGGUUUGACAAAAAAAGGACAGUCCGAGUCAACAUCUGUAGAGACAGAAACAACAUCCGAGACAGGAACACAAUUUAGUACAAGCAUGCCUGUCUACACAUCAGUCAAAGUGACAGAAAUGCCAACAGGUCAGAAAGAAACAACUGCUUUGCCUACAGCCACAACCAGAUCUUUUAGUAACUCAAUCACAUUGGCAAGCCAGUCAAAAUCUUCUGCCACAGUGUCAACAACAGCUAAAACAACUUCAUCCUCAACAGUUGUUUCUGGCUUGACAAGAACAUUACAGUCCAAUUCAAAAUCUGUAGAGACAGAAACAACAUCCGAGACAGGAACACAAUCAAGUACAAGCAUGCCUGUCUAUACAACAACCACAAUGACCGAAUUAACAACAGCUCAAAAAGCUACAACAGCUUUGACUACAGGAAACACCAGAUUUUUAAGUGAUGUAACAACAACCCAGUCAACAUCCUCUACCACUAAAUCUACAACAGCUCAAACAACUUCAUUCACAUUGUUUGGUACUGAUCUGACAACAAUAGGACGGUUAGAGUCAACAACUGCACAAACUGAAACAACAUCAUUGACUGGAAUAGGAUCAAGUACAAGUAUGCCUGUCUACACAUCAGUCACGGUGACAGAAUUGACAACAGCUCAACAAGGUACAACAAACACCAGGUCUUUAAGUGAUGCAACAACAUUUUUAAGCCUGGCAAUACCUUCUACCACAACAGGUCGAGGACCUGCAUCAAAGACAUUUAUGUCUGAUUCAAUUACAACAGUAAGAUUAGAUUCAACAGCAGUACAACCUGAAACAACAAGACACAACACAACAGCAAUGACAGAAUCAACAACAGUUAAGCAAGGACGAAAAGUGUUGCCUACAGACACAUCCACAUAUCUCAGUCUCCUAACAACUUUGGCAAGCCAUUCAGAAUCUUCUUUCUCUAAAUCUACAAAAGUUGAAGGAACUUCUUCCACUACAAUCGUGGCUGAGUCGAUUCCUACACUAAAAACAGAGUCAAUAUCUGCACAUCAUGAAACAACAACAGUGAUAAAAGCAGAAUCAAGUACAAGUGUACCUUCCACCACAAAAUUGGUGACAGAAUCAGCAACAGAGCUUAAAAAAACAGCUGCGCCUACAAAAUCAGUCUCAACAUCAUCUGCUUACCAAUCAAUAUCUUCUGCCACUGAAUCUACAACAGUAAAAGGAUCUUCAUCCACUAUAGUUAACAAGAAAACAAGUAGAGUUUCCACACCUGUUACUCCAAACUCCAUAACUACUGUUACAAGUCUUCUAAGAACCAUAGUUCCUACCAGUAAACUGCCAGUCAUCACUGCAUCAGCAAAGACUUCAAGCAGUUCUACAUCCUUCAGUGGUCUUCCAACAACAACAGUUAUUAUGACUACUAAACCUUCGACCACCACCAUGCCUACAACUAUCAAAAUGACUAAGAAUCCACAAACCACCAUAAAAGCAAGCUCUACAAGUUCUGUUCCAACUACAACAAUCAAGAUACCAACAACUUUUAAAAUGACCACAUAUCUUAAAACGGUCCCAACAAGCUCUACAUCUUCCUCAACAACAUCUCAUCCUCGUACAACAUCUGGACAAAGAACUACUACAAUUGCUACUACAACUACUACAUCAGUUCCAACCACCAUGUCUUUAGCAAGAAGUCCCCAAACUGUGUAUCUCUCUUUCCGAACCAAUGAGACAUUUAAUGCUGAUUUGCUCAUAUCAAGUUCCUCAGCUUUCAAGAGCAGAUCAUCUCUUAUUAAAAAAGAGCUUGAGCCUUUUUUCUUUGAAGACUACGCUCCAGACUUCAUUGGUUUGGCUGUAUUAAAUUACAGCAAAGGAUCCAUAUCUCAAUUUACAAAUCUAACAUUCACUGCCAAUGCCACUCAACCAAAUGGCACUUCACUUUUCCAAACCAUGUUUAGGGCGGCAAUGAGUCGAAAUGUGACAUUUUCUAUUAUCACAAUAAAUGGUAUAGACCUGUACAAGGAUGGGACCACUACUAUGGCCACAACUAUAUCGACUGGUGUAACAACAUCCAGAGCACAUGUGCUUUCUAGUAAUGCCAGUACCAUUAGUCUCCUCAGCACUUGCAUCGUCAUGGUCUUUUUACUGUUUGUGACAUGGCUGUUCUAAACUUGUAAAGUCCAGUGUCAUCUGUCCACUCUCUGAAAGUUUCAGCCACCUUGAACAUGACUCAGUUUGAUUGAUUAUACCACAAGCCUACAUUCACAAUAAAGUAAAAUGUACUUUUUUCA
rnacentral:lncRNA from 1 species